rnacentral:rRNA from 1 species
UACGUAGGGUGCAAGCGUUAAUCGGAAUUACUGGGCGUAAAGCGUGCGCAGGCGGUUCCAUAAGACAGAUGUGAAAUCCCCGGGCUCAACCUGGGAACUGCAUUUGUGACUGUGGGGCUAGAGUACGGUAGAGGGGGAUGGAAUUCCGCGUGUAGCAGUGAAAUGCGUAGAUAUGCGGAGGAACACCAAUGGCGAAGGCAAUCCCCUGGACCUGUACUGACGUUCAUGCACGAAAGCGUGGGGAGCAAACAGG